rnacentral:ncRNA from 1 species
CAUAAAAUCAGUUAUGGUUCAUUUGAUCGUACAGUUUACUUGGAUAACUGUGGUAAUUCUAGAGGUAAUACAUGCGAGAAGCGCCGACCUCGCGGGAGGCGUGCAUUUAUCAGACCAAAAACCGGCCGCGUCUUCGGGCGCGUUCGCCUUGGUGACUCUGGAUAACUUUGCGGAUCGCACGGUCUAGCACCGGCGACGGAUCAUUCAAGUGUCUGCCCUAUCAACUUUCGUCGGUACGGUAUUUGCCUACCGAGGUUCUUACGGGUGACGGGGAAUCAGGGUUCGAUUCCGGAGAGGGAGCCUGAGAAACGGCUACCACAUCCAAGGAAGGCAACAGGCGCGCAAAUUACCCAUUCCCGACGCGGGGAGGUAGUGACGAAAAAUAACAAUGCAGGACUCGUUCGAGGCCCUGUAAUUGGAAUGAGUACACUUUAAAAGCUUUAACGAGUAUCCAUUGGAGGGCAAGUCUGGUGCCAGCAGCCGCGGUAAUUCCAGCUCCAAAAGUAUAUAUUUAAGUUGUUGCGGUUAAAAAGCUCGUAGUUGGAUUUUGGGCGCAGGCGGCCGGUCCGUCGCAAGGCGUGUACUGGACGUCCUGGCCUUCCCUCCGGUUCUCCGCCGGUGCUCUUGACUGAGUGUCGGCGGCGGCCGGAACGUUUACUUUGAAAAAAUUAGAGUGUUCAAAGCAGGCUCUCGAGCCUGGAUAAUGGUGCAUGGAAUAAUGGAAUAGGACCUCGGUUCUAUUUUGUUGGUUUUCGGAGCGCGAGGUAAUGAUUAAGAGGGACAGACGGGGGCAUUCGUACUGUGCCGUUAGAGGUGAAAUUCUUGGAUCGGCGCAAGACGAACGACUGCGAAAGCAUUUGCCAAGAAUGUUUUCUUUAAUCAAGAGCGAAAGUCAGAGGUUCG